rnacentral:lncRNA from 1 species
AAAAACAAACAGUAAAUGUUGCUCAUAGAAGAGAAUUGAAGUGUAUAUCAAAGGAAAAUGAAAUGAGAUACAACUAGAUAACCAUAAUAGCUUUUUCAAACAAUGAAACAAAACCAAAACCGUUUAAAACCAAAAAGAACCGAACCAAAUGGUUUGGUUUCAUUUCGGUUGUAGCCUCAAAACCACACCGAACUAAACCACAAAAACUUGCAGGUUUUGUUUUGGUUUCACCCAAAACCGAACCGUGUCCACCCCUAGUAUUAUUAUUCUUUUGGUAAAAAAAAAAUUAAAAAAAAAAAAAAAAAAACCAAAGCAAACCCUAGCAACUACCUAGUGUUGCUGCUGAAAACCCGCUUGCCGAACGAACAUCCCCAGCACAUAGAACCCUAAACUCCGUCACCGAACACCACAACAGUAACUGACACAAAUCGA